ensembl:lncRNA
GCUCAUACAUCCCCAUGGAGGGAGACCACACAGCAGGCUGCUCGCACAUGUUGUAAGAACCAUACUCAGAAGCACAGGAGAAAAGAGCCAGAAUUAGGACCCUUGAGCCAAAGAGCAGCAGAGCCUCUCAGCUUUGCAGCUUCAGUAGCCACAAUGGUUCCACAACCCACCUCGCUCUGUGAUGUGGUGAACAGUGCUUUCCACGAUGCUGCAGCAGGAGCCCAUGGUGUCCUACAGCUCAGGCGUGCUCACACAUAGAAGGAAGCCAGCAUCUUUGAUUCUGUUUCCAAUUGAACUGCCUGGGGGCAAGCUCCUCUCCUCCAGCCGCUGUGCAACCUCUGCAGCAAGGCUCCUUCCCACGUACCCACAGCCUGAGGGCACAACGCUCAUUUUGGAGAGGCAGAAAGCAGCUCUCAUUUCCAGUUAGUGGCUAUUUGGCGCGGCACUUAAACCAGGCAAGAAAUGACUUCUGUGCGUGGAGUUACCAAAACUCCCAUUGAAUUGGGACAAUGAGUUGGGAUGUUUGUCGGUGACGCAUUCAGAGCCAUGGCAGGAAGGGUUAUCGCUUCCAGUCCCAGCCUAACCUGCUGCACAAAUAGCGAGCAUACCUUUCUAAAUAAGUUGUUUCAAAGAACAAAAAGGAAAAAAAAAAAACAUUUUCCUUUGAAAAGCGCCACUGUGCAACUUCACAAAGGCUUCUAAAUAUAGCUACUUUCAGUGAACAAGUGCAAGAAGGAGACCGGGCAGAUGGCUUUGAAGAGCCACCGCUUCCCUCUUGGAAUCAUAGAAUCAUGAUAAGGUUGAAGGGACCUCCAAGUUCCCUCAGCCCCAACCCCUGCCAUGGGCUGGGAGCCACUUCAGGCUGCCCAGAGCCCAUCCAUGGCGUUGGGCACCUCCAGGGAUGGGGCACCCACAACCCAUCCCACCCUCCUUCACCAUCACCAGUGCGGUGCAAAGGAAAGAUAAGGGCUCACCCCACAGAUCCGAGGACGGUCCUUUUCUGAGCAAGUCCAGCUGCGUUCUGCUAAAAGACUUUUCAAGCAUAUUCCUAAUGAUCUGAAUUGUUCCCGAGCACUCCCUGCAGGCUCCAGCCGGGUUUUGGGGGGAGCUUGCUCUUCUGAGAAUGCUGUUCCUUAUUUUCGUCAGCACAUUGAACAUAGCCUCUAAAUUAAAAUCUUCUAUUCCCAGCCUAUUUUGAUCAACUCCACUUCCUUCAGCUUAAAAGAUACAAUAAGAAUAGAUGAGCUCUUGCAAAUUAAAAGCCUCUCUUGCUUAACAAAUUGUCUCUCCACAAUAAUUAAUUGUCUGGAGAGAGAUUCCAGCCCUAGGUUUUUGGCCUCAUUCCAGGCUGUGUAAGGGAAAAAAUAUAUAUAUUUGGAUAUGUUCUUCCUGCGGGCCUUCGUUGUGCCCUUCCCGCACAGUGCAGUGGCUCCGACCCAUCUACCCAGUGCUGUCAUGGCAGUGUCCCCAGAGUUGUCCCUCAGCCUUCACCCCCACCCCCAGUGACCCUGUCCAGGCAAUGGGACCUUCACCCCAAGCUGUUCUCACAUCAGUGGCUGCACAGGAGCUGUGUGUGGGCAAUGGAGGUGCUGAGCUCCAGGCUGCCUUUGGGACUGUGUCUGACCCCAACUUCCUUAAGAAAUUCCUUCCAGCAUGUGACUCUCUGAGUGAGUAAAUUUAAAUUAAUCUUCAUUUCUGCAGACUAAGCCCUUGACUGCUUCCCCUCUCAGGGAUACGGAAGUUCCUGCCCUACUUCACAGUUACAAAACUAGAAAGAAACGUAGGAUACAGUGCCUGCUCCUGCAGAACCCUACAGGCUUCCCUCUGAGGUCACAUUCCCCAGGCCUCCUCCUCAUCCAUGGAGCUCUGCAACCUCCACCAAGGUCACAGCUGGCUUUGGCCACCCCAAUAGGUGCCUGCCCCAGAUGUCAUCUAUGGGCAGCUGCACUAGGGUGGGUUGAGGACCUGCUUUAAUCGGUGUAAAACAUGUAGCCCUUAGCCAGCUGCAGGAUGCUUAAUACCAGCAAUCCAGCACCCUCCAGUCCUCGUUAGAGCCUGGAGGGCUUUGUCUAGAUCAGCAAACUGGAAAUAAACCUCUAACAUC